AUUGAACGCUGGCGGCAUGCUUUACACAUGCAAGUCGAACGGUAACAGGCCGCAAGGUGCUGACGAGUGGCGAACGGGUGAGUAAUGCAUCGGAACGUGCCCAGUCGUGGGGGAUAACGCAGCGAAAGCUGCGCUAAUACCGCAUACGAUCUCUGGAUGAAAGCGGGGGACCGAAAGGCCUCGCGCGAUUGGAGCGGCCGAUGUCAGAUUAGGUAGUUGGUGGGGUAAAGGCCCACCAAGCCAACGAUCUGUAGCUGGUCUGAGAGGACGACCAGCCACACGGGGACUGAGACACGGCCCAGACUCCUACGGGAGGCAGCAGUGGGGAAUUUUGGACAAUGGGCGCAAGCCUGAUCCAGCAAUGCCGCGUGCAGGAAGAAGGCCUUCGGGUUGUAAACUGCUUUUGUACGGAACGAAACGGUCCGGGUUAAUACCCUGGGCUAAUGACGGUACCGUAAGAAUAAGCACCGGCUAGCUACGUGCCAGCCGCCGCCGUAACAC
rnacentral:rRNA from 1 species